UACGAAGGGGGCUAGCGUUGCUCGGAAUUACUGGGCGUAAAGCGCACGUAGGCGGUCUUUUAAGUCGGGGGUGAAAUCCUGGAGCUCAACUCCAGAACUGCCUUCGAUACUGGAAGACUUGAGUCCGGGAGAGGUGAGUGGAACUGCGAGUGUAGAGGUGAAAUGCGCAGAGAUCGGGAGGAACACCCGUAGCGAAGGCGGCACUCUGGGCCGGUACUGACGCUGAGGAGCGAAAGCGUGGGGAGCAAACAGG
rnacentral:rRNA from 1 species